rnacentral:lncRNA from 1 species
GAGAUUUUUUAGAAUUUGUUUGAAGCAUGAAAUGGGUUGUGUCAACCCAAACUUUUCUCGGUCAGUUAGAAUGCAUGGCGGGAUAAAGAGGAAGAAGUGCCAGUGUCGGCUGAGCUAUGAGCAGCGCCGGCUGUGAAGAGAAGAAGUGACAGCGUCGGCUAAGUUGUGAGCAGCACCAACUGUAAAGAGAAGAAGUGUCAGCGCCGGCUAUGUAGGAGAAGAAGUGUCAACACCGGCUGUGUUGUGUACAGAGAUCAGAGACCAACGCCAACUGUGUUGUGUGCAGGAGACCAGCACCGGUUGCGUUACUGAUAUGCAUGAAUUAUGAGUGCCACUUAUUAGAUGCACACUAAUGUGAGUGCCACUUGUCCAGAUUUUAAGUCUUUUGAUGAGACUUGGACCACCACCCAGAACAUAAGAGUACUUAAGCCUCUCCUCUUACCCACGCCACCCACUCUUCCCUCAUUUCUCCCCUCUCUAAGACCCAAGGUUUGAAGAAGUGAUUGUUGGAGGGCAGUCAUUGUUGAGCAGGUGAGAACGAAUAGAGGAUUGGAGAAGGCCCCAUUGUUAUUCAAGUAAGUAGAUCCAUCACCAUUACACUGUAGUCAUAAGGAUGCAUGAGAAUUUAUGCAUGUGAAAUGAGCAAUAGAAGUGUAUGUGUUGUAAAAAAUCCUUACAGCUUUUUCACUAGAAUUUGGGGCUUUGUUCUAUGAUAAUGAUGGAUGUUGAGAAUGAAUGUAUGAUUCUUACAUUGUGUAAAAAAUGCAUGUCAUGUGUAUUCAUAUUGUGAGGGAAUGGUUGUUAUCAUGUUUCUUACCAUGACAUAACGGUUAUGGAAUGUAUUCUUCAGACAUGUUAUAUACCACUGUGAAAUUCCAUAAUUUUGGAAAGAUAUAUGAGUCUACUAAAAUGUUCAUUUUUUCCCACUGUUGAAAUUCUUUAUGAAAAUGAAGUCACAUUUCAAAAUGAGAGAGUAUACCAUUUUUUACUAUUUUCCUAGAUUUUGCACUAAUCUUGCUAUGGUUACUAGUUUUCACUAACCAAAUGAAGUCCAUUUCUUGUCAAACCAUAUCUAUUUGAAAGAUAUUUGAAUGGGCUAAAAUUUGCAUGAGGAAAAUAUUUUGAAAUUCUUUUUAGAUUGAAAGUUAUUCUUCAACUUAAGGUAUGUCACUGUGGGCAGUAUUGAUAAAAUUCAGAAAGAUCACUCUGCUUGGCACGAACUUUUGAACUACCAAAUGGAAUCCAAACGCUUUCAAAUUUACCUUGUUAGAAAGAUAUACGACUUGGCUUCAACUUUGAUUUUGAAACCGUCACAAGUUACCUCACGGUUUGAAAAGUUAUAGUGAUAUGAAGCAGGGUACCUCGCUGUCCACUGUAUAUAUUAGGGUGCAGCUAGUUAGCCCUCACCUCUUGGAACCUUUAAGAGGUCAAACGAGGCCCAUUUGUCUUCAAACCACUCCCAUUUGAAAGGUAGGAGUGUCUAGUGGGAAAUUAGUUUUGGAACUAUCUUUAACUUCCAAAGGAAUUUGGAGUUAUGACCAUAUUUUGACCAAAUGUCUCUACCUGAAAUUGCAGGAAAUGUGACAACGACACUAAGAUUCUGUGACUCUGAUAAUGUGAUCAUUUAAUGUUGAUACUGAUAUAAUAUGAAUUUGAUACUAUUAAAAAUGCGAUUCUGAUAUUGUCUGAUUAUGCUAUAUGAAUAUGGAUUUCUAGCUACUAUACAAUGGGUCCUCUAUUGGUAGUGGAAACUGUGAUUCUGUCAUAUUGAUGUUCUUAUAUGUCUUGACCUCUACACAAUGGGUCCUCCAUUAGUAGUGAAUAUUUCCUUUUGAUCUUGUUAAAUGAGAACUGAUAUUCUGUGAUUUCUUGCCACUAUGCAAUGGGUCCUCCAUUGGUAGUGGAUAUUAUGAUUCUGUUAUAUGAAUUCUGUUAUAUGUGAUUUUCGGCCACUACGCAAUGGGUCAUCUAUUGGUAGCAGAUAUGCUGAUUCUGUCACCGUUACGCAAUGGGUCAUCCAUUGGUAGUCGGGUAUUUUAUACCUCGAUUCCUAUAAUAGGAGUGGAGUCGAGAUGUAACUGUAAAUAACUUGGAGGGUCACACCCCCCGAAUUGCUAUAAGCACUACGCAUUUGGUCCUCCAAUGGUAGUGUAGCGCCCUCUCGCCUAAGGCACAAGUGAGGGUCAUGUCUUACAAGAUUAGCUUAGCCUGAUCGAUGUGGCUUCUACUUCGGGAGUAAAUUAAUUGUUCUGCUUAUCUGAUUUAUGUAUUAUGUAAGACUAUCUGAUGGUAACUGGUAGAUACAUUUUGAGGACAAGUAAUGCUCCGUUAAUUGAUUCUUACCCUCGUUAUAUAGCUUUCAUGUGUACUCUGAUAUGUGACUAUACUCUGUAAGACAAAUGCGAUUUCUGAUGAACUAUGGGCAUGUUAUCUUGUAUUAUGUAUAUUGUUAGUCAGGAAUGCAAGCGUAGUGAUCUGCUUACUGGGUUUUUAACUUAUUCCAUCUUAAUCUCAUAAUUGUAGAGUGAAGGGUGGCGGCAGCUGCACCAAAGGUGGGUGGUAAUUUGAAGGCUUGAAGCCCGAAAUUAAGAAGUUUGAGAAGCCGUCUUCCAAAGACUUUCACAAUAUGUUUUAGUGAUUUCAGCAGCAUGAUGUAUACUUCAUUUUGUGUAUUUUGGGCCAGUACUGCCUCGAAGAAAUUGUAAAGACUUUUGAUAUCAAAUGAAUGAAAUGGUUAUACCUUUGGUUUGAU